rnacentral:tRNA from 1 species
CGCGGGGAGGGGCAGUCUGGUCGCCCGUCAGCCCCAUAAGCUGAAGGUCGCGGGUUCAAAUCCCGCCCCCGCAACCA